rnacentral:rRNA from 1 species
CAAGACAUGAAGUUAGGUCACAA